CCUGCCUCAAAGAGGGGGACAACAGUUGGAAACGACUGCUAAUACCGCAUAAGCCCACGACCCGGCAUCGGGAAGAGGGAAAAGGAGCAAUCCGCUUUGAGAUGGCCUCGCGUCCGAUUAGCUAGUUGGUGAGGUAACGGCCCACCAAGGCAACGAUCGGUAGCCGGACUGAGAGGUUGAACGGCCACAUUGGGACUGAGACACGGCCCAGACUCCUACGGGAGGCAGCAGUGGGGAAUAUUGCACAAUGGGGGAAACCCUGAUGCAGCGACGCCGCGUGGAGGAAGAAGGUCUUCGGAUUGUAAACUCCUGUUGUUGAGGAAGAUAAUGACGGUACUCAACAAGGAAGUGACGGCUAACUACGUGCCAGCAGCCGCGGUAAAACGUAGGUCACAAGCGUUGUCCGGAAUUACUGGGUGUAAAGGGAGCGCAGGCGGGAAGACAAGUUGGAAGUGAAAUCCAUGGGCUCAACCCAUGAACUGCUUUCAAAACUGUUUUUCUUGAGUAGUGCAGAGGUAGGCGGAAUUCCCGGUGUAGCGGUGGAAUGCGUAGAUAUCGGGAGGAACACCAGUGGCGAAGGCGGCCUACUGGGCACCAACUGACGCUGAGGCUCGAAAGUGUGGGUAGCAAACAGGAUUAGAUACCCUGGUAGUCCACACCGUAAACGAUGAUUACUAGGUGUUGGAGGAUUGACCCCUUCAGUGCCGCAG
rnacentral:rRNA from 1 species